rnacentral:rRNA from 1 species
CCUACGGGAGGCAGCAGUGAGGAAUAUUCGUCAAUGGGCGCAAGUCUGACCGAGCCAAGUCGCGUGAGGGAUGACGGUCCUAUGGAUUGUAAACCUCUUUUGUCGGGGAGCAAGGCCCGCCACGUGUGGCGGGAAGACGAGUACCCGAAGUAAAAGCAUCGGCUAACUUCGUGCCAGCAGCCGCGGUAAUAUGGAGCAUGCGAGCGUUAUCCGGAUUUAUUGGGUUUAAAGGGUGCGUAGGCGGAUGGUUAAGUCAGCGGUCAAAUGUCGGUGCUCAACACCAGCCUGCUGUUGAAACUGGUCAUCUUGAGUGAGCGAGGAGUAUGCGGAAUGCGAGGUGUAGCAGUGAAAUGCAUAGAUAUCACGCAGAACUCCGAUUGCGAAGGCAGCAUACCGGCGCUCAACUGACGCUGAGGCACGAAAGCGUGGGGAGCGAACAGGAUUAGAUACCCUAGUAGUC